GACUCUGAACAUGUAAUGUCAUACUUUGGCUAUGAGUCACAUUACAAGAUAAUGUGUGAUGCAAAAUAUAAAAUUAAAUGGAGACUAACACUGACUAAUGUCAACAUAAAGUUGGGCCGGCAAGGCCGUCAUAAUUACUACAACUAACAGGCCAACAAAAUAUACGUACAGGGCCUACAAGCCCAACAUUCUGCACUAACCCACAUGAUAUGUCUACAAUCCUCUACUUAUAGAUGUACUGUGAUCAGAACAGGGCCCUGACCUACCCAUAACCUAUCUACAUAUAUACACAAGAUAUACACCACACUGCUAGACCCGCCAACUCCGAAAGAAGGGGAGCUUACUGAUAAAGCUGAACUCGGGCAACACCUACUUUGGAGGUCUACCCGUCUGUCUGUCUGAACCUGCACGUAUGAAAUGCAACGCCUCCAGAAAGGGACGCCGGUACGAAAUAAUGUACCGAGUAUGUAAGGCAAUAUACUGAAAGCUUGAAAUAGAACUGAUGAUAUAAUAUCUGAAAGCAACUGGGGAUCAAAGAUAAUUUGAAGAUAUGCUCAUCAGCUGAUAUUGACUCAACUCUCUCAAUAUAGUGAGUAAAAUAGCUCGGUAUACAUAUAUAUCUACUUUGCCGUAGUAGGCUCGCUCAUAAGCACUCGGCCAUACUAGGCUUUGUAUCUCGAUCAACUGGGCUCGCUCAUAGGCGCUCGGUCACAUUAGGCUCGGUAUAUAACUUACCAUCUGAUCAGAGGUUGCCCAAUAGAGGUCUGCCCAUCGAUUAUAGCUCGAUGGUAAUGAAAGUACUUUUAAUAUACUGUAUAUAUGUAAGCUCUCUGCUCUUUUGAUCGGAAGAAGGAAAUACUCAACUGAAUAUGCAGUCCCGAUAAGAAGAAUAUGAUAACUUACAAAACUAGAAAAAUAUAUGUAAUUUGCGAGACUAGAAAAAUAUAUACAAAUUCCGGGAUACGAAUUUUUCUUUAUGCCUCGUUAUCAAACUUGUGUAAUUACGAUAUCAUGCUAAAAUAAAGGAAAAGUUUAGCCUUAACAUACCUGUUCCUGGAAUUAUUUGAACGGAAUGAAGCUUCUGCCUCCGUGAAAUAUGAACGAAAUUCUGACUGAAUCCUUUGAAAUUGAACGAAAUUGUGGUGGCUCUAUCGAAAUUUGUUUAUCUAGGGGUUGAAUUGUUUGGACAGAAUUGUUUCAAAUGAAGCUUGAGUUGUUGAAAAUGAAAUGUUUCUACUUUUCAACAUUCUUGGCUUUAAAUGCCAAGGCAGAUUGUGGUUCCUUUGAAGUCUUUACAAAACUUCCUAUUAAAUGCUAUAGAUAAGAUUUAUAAAUCUUAUCAAGUCUUAAGUAUGACUUGGUUAUCA
rnacentral:lncRNA from 1 species